UUAUAAAGAUAAAAUUUUAAUAUCCAAAACUAAUGUUUUUAUUAAACUAGUCUAUA
rnacentral:tRNA from 1 species